AGUGAACGCUGGCGGUAGGCCUAACACAUGCAAGUCGAACGGCAGCACAGUAAGAGCUUGCUCUUACGGGUGGCGAGUGGCGGACGGGUGAGGAAUACAUCGGAAUCUACUUUUUCGUGGGGGAUAACGUAGGGAAACUUACGCUAAUACCGCAUACGACCUACGGGUGAAAGCAGGGGACCUUCGGACCUUGCGCGAUUGAAUGAGCCGAUGUCGGAUUAGCUAGUUGGCGGGGUAAAGGCCCACCAAGGCGACGAUCCGUAGCUGGUCUGAGAGGAUGAUCAGCCACACUGGAACUGAGACACGGUCCAGACUCCUACGGGAGGCAGCAGUGGGGAAUAUUGGACAAUGGGCGCAAGCCUGAUCCAGCCAUACCGCGUGGGUGAAGAAGGCCUUCGGGUUGUAAAGCCCUUUUGUUGGGAAAGAAAAGCAGCAGGUUAAUACCCCGCUGUUCGGACGGUACCCAAAGAAUAAGCACCGGCUAACUUCGU
rnacentral:rRNA from 1 species